UUUUUGGAAAUCUUUACCAUCAGGUUCCUGUUAAAGCAGACCAGAAAAAUUCGAUGAAACCAUUCACAUCGCCUGACUGUCUCCAUGCACAUCCACUCCAACUAAAGAUCUGACGUUCUGCAGUAGUACAACAUUCCUCUCUUUACCCAAGGACAAUUUUCAGUGUUCGACUCCGUGCAGCAAUGGUAUCUAAUACUGUGAUCAGAAUGUUACUUCUACUCGCUGUUGUAGUCACAGCCAGUGCUUUUCUGGAAACUCAAGGCGAGGCAGCGGAUGUCCGCGAAAACGACAUCGAGGAGCCAGUGCAAGAAAUGGUUACGCAUAGGUACCAUGACAGUUGCACAAAAAACGGUCAAACAUGCGAAUGCUUUUUAGGAACAAAAAUAGCGUACGCCUGCGAGCCAAAAGAAGAAACAACAACAAUAACAAGUGAUAUUGAGUGAGAUAUCGUGGUCGAUAGACGAACUAAAACACCGGCAAUCUGCAAAACCGACAACCCCGGAGGCUGAUGAUAAUACUCACAAUAGUAUUAAUAACGUUAGAUUCGUACAGUGCAUAGUAUAGUAAUGACAAUUAUCUAUUAUUAUUUAUAUACAUUGAAUUAAAAACUUGAAUAAUUAAUAUUAACUAAAUACAGAAAUAUAUUACACUAUUGCAAGAAAAGUCUGAAGGGCUUUCUUAUAACUAUCGAGGGAAGAUAUAUUCCUAAUUAUUAGGGAUGAUGAUUUCUACACAGAUGGAAAUGGUUUUAUAUUCAUUGAUUUUAUUUAUAAAAACUCCAUCUUUUUCAUUCAUAACAUAAAAGCAGAACAUUUUCCAUAUUCUUAGCUUAUACAAAGUGAACGUAAUUAUAUGAAGCUUUUUAUCUGUUAAUAAACGGAUAUAAUUUAAUUGGGUUGCGAUUAUUCUUAUUCAAUGCAAAAGUUAAAAGGCAUAAUAUAUUUAACGAAACAUCGAUAUUUCUUCAGAUCAUGCAUGCAUUGAAGUAAAUGAUCCUGAAUCAAAGUAAUUAAUAACGUGAAAGAAUGUUCUGUAAAUCAUGAAAUAUGGAAAUGAAAAGUGAACCUAAAUAAAUGCUAGGCUUGUUGCGUGUAUGUACAACAAUUAUAUAAUAUAAUAAUAUUUCCGUACAACACAAUUAUUGCAUGACCAAAAACAAGGACAAUCAUUGACUUGUUUUUAGAAAACAACUAAAUACUCUUUAAAAUGUUUAUGUUCAUAUUUCUCAACAUUGUAGUUGUACAGAAUUGUUUUGAGUUAUGAAACUGAUGCUAGGAUGUAUCGGCUUCAAGAUACAUUACGUUUACAGGGUGUACAGCCAGGAAUUCUGCUGUAAAUGACGAUCGAAGUGUAUACGUACUUGAUAUACAAGAUGAAGUUUUCUUUGAAUUUUUUUCUGAAUUCUUUCUUUAAAAAUAUAAGCAGUAAACAGGUGUAAUUGGUAGUAUAACUAUGACAUAAUACAUGUAAUAGCAGUUGAGCUGUAUAAGAGCAUCAUAACAAUAAAUGGCAAGAUUGAGUGACCAUGAUAGAU